AGCGAACGCUGGCGGCAGGCCUAACACAUGCAAGUCGAACGAACCCUUCGGGGUUAGUGGCGGACGGGUGAGUAACACGUGGGAACGUGCCUUUAGGUUCGGAAUAACUCAGGGAAACUUGUGCUAAUACCGAAUGUGCCCUUCGGGGGAAAGAUUUAUCGCCUUUAGAGCGGCCCGCGUCUGAUUAGCUAGUUGGUGAGGUAAUGGCUCACCAAGGCUACGAUCAGUAGCUGGUCUGAGAGGAUGACCAGCCACAUUGGGACUGAGACACGGCCCAAACUCCUACGGGAGGCAGCAGUGGGGAAUCUUGCGCAAUGGGCGAAAGCUUGACGCAGCCAUGCCGCGUGGAUGAUGAAGGCCUUAGGGUUGUAAAGCUCUUUUACCAGGGAUGAUAAUGACAGUACCUGGAGAAUAAGCUCCGGCUAACUCCGUGCCAGCCGCCGCGGUAACAC
rnacentral:rRNA from 1 species